rnacentral:rRNA from 1 species
GAUAAACGCUGGCGGCGCACAUAAGACAUGCAAGUCGAACGGACUUUAACCAUUAGUUUACUAUUGGAGCGGUUAGUGGCGGACUGGUGAGUAACACGUAAGCAACCUGCCUAUCAGAGGGGAACAACAGUUAGAAAUGACUGCUAAUACCGCAUAUGCCUAAGUACCACAUGGUACAAUAGGGAAAGGAGCAAUCCGCUGAUAGAUGGGCUUGCGUCUGAUUAGAUAGUUGGUGGGGUAACGGCCUACCAAGUCGACGAUCAGUAGCCGGACUGAGAGGUUGAACGGCCACAUUGGAACUGAGAAACGGUCCAGACUCCUACGGGAGGCAGCAGUGGGGAAUAUUGGGCAAUGGGCGAAAGCCUGACCCAGCGACGCCGCGUGAGGGAAGACGGUCUUCGGAUUGUAAACCUCUUUUAUUAGGGACGAAUUAUGACGGUACCUAAUGAAUAAGCCACGGCUAACUACGUG